CUCAUUUCCAGCGCACAAUGGCCAAAUCUCCGGAUACCAAUCCGUUGGAAAAUUAUGUCUGGAGUAUUUUGGACAGCAAAGUCUGGAGUAUUUUGGAAAGCAAAAUGUAAAAAUUGUGGCGUUGGACUUUGUUGAAGUUUUUAUCUCACCCUGUACAUAAAUACAUGUGUUUAACUUGUUGGGAGUAAAACGUCGGCCGAACACGUCGCAUUUUAGGUAACGCUGUGGCACAUUACUUAGUAAUGAGAAAAGAAAAUACUUUGUAUUUUUAAAGGAAUACCCCAUUAUUCUCAAUCCACUGAUAAUGCAGAAGGUAUUUUAUUUACAUUACACUCCCCACUUAUUGCAUAUUAGGCCGAUUUAAAGUCUGGCGCUUUGGGUUGUUUACUUUUCGCCAGGAAAUGUUAACACAUGGUAUGGGCAUAGCAAUCACAUCUACAAUCACCUGAAUACAAUUGUAUCUUUUCGUAGUCUUGUAAUGCCAAAAAAAAGCAAAACAUGAACUAUACCUUAUAUAGGUUCACCUUGCCCUAUAUUCAGGCACCGACUGUAUAUUAUUUUCAAUCAUCCUAGAUAAAGUGUCAGAUUUGAAUUUAUAGUUUAAAAAAAAAAACAUACAUGUGCAUAAAUAUAUAUGUGCACAUUUAGAAAUGCCAGAUUUCGAUCAAUCACUUCCAAUUAUUUUAAGGUCACAGAGAAUAUUCAUUUUAAAAACGUACCUAAUGGGUAUCGGAUUGGUUGCAUUGGCGGUUUUGCAGUGGCUUCUCCUAACUACAAAGCAAGUAAAAUUUGAAUAUUCCUUUGGAUUGUGUUUCUCUAUCAAUCUCGGUGUAGGAAAUGUGUGGCGCAAUAUUUGAGGAAAUACAAUUUUAUGAUGCUGGGGCUCCUGUUUGUCAUGUUCGUAAUGCUACUCCUAAUGCAGAAUCUCUUGCGGCGUACGUACAGUGGAAAAACCAGGGCCGCCAUUGCGUGUUACAUGCUAUUGAUGAUAGAAAUAACUUCGACUGUUGUUAGCAAGCCAGUGGCACAAUCAACAUUUUGGAACAUGGCAAUGGCAAGUGCUCUCACUCUGGGUCCAACUACUGUCAGCAUGUGUUUGGCAUUCAAACAUCAGAUAGAAAUCGAAUAUGAACCGACAUAUCUGGCAAUGUGGACAAUGAAAUAUUUUUUACUUACUUCUGUGAGUCUUCCAAUGGUGUUGGCUUUCGACAAUAUUUAUGUGCAAACAAGUAUCAGCUUGCUCCUGAGUUUCUUUAUCUCAAUUGUGAGUAUGGAAUGUUGCUUUUAAAACGUGCCGAUCAUCAUAAAUUUCUAGCUCGUUAUCGUUUGGGGAAUAUCUUUGUCGUCCCUACUCUUCUACAGGAUGGAGUCCCCGCACGUGGUAUACUACAUAGCACUAACAUAUAUCCUAUUUAUGUCGUUGUUUGCCAAUACUUUAGUUUUCUUCAAUAAGAUUCGAAAAAUAUAUGGCAAUUAGCUGUGGAAAUAUUUAUUUAAUCGUUUUCAAUAGCAUUCACCCUGCUUCCCGCAUCACAAAUAAGGACACUAAAUACAUCGCUACAAAAUUGAAGUACACACUUCUGGCUGGCAUUAGACACAGUGUUAGAGAACGGGUAUCGUAUCGGCCACUGGUUAUAGACAUUCC